AUGCACGCUGGCGGCGUGCCUCAUACCUGCAAGUCGAGCGAACAGAUGAGGAGCUUGCUCCUCUGACGUUAGCGGCGGACGGGUGAGUAACACGUGGAUAACCUACCUAUAAGACUGGGAUAACUUCGGGAAACCGGAGCUAAUACCGGAUAAUAUAUUGAACCGCAUGGUUCAAUAGUGAAAGACGGUUUUGCUGUCACUUAUAGAUGGAUCCGCGCCGCAUUAGCUAGUUGGUAAGGUAACGGCUUACCAAGGCGACGAUGCGUAGCCGACCUGAGAGGGUGAUCGGCCACACUGGAACUGAGACACGGUCCAGACUCCCACGGGAGGCAGCAGUAGGGAAUCUUCCGCAAUGGGCGAAAGCUUGACGGAGCAACGCCGCGUGAGUGAUGAAGGUCUUCGGAUCGUAAAACUCUGUUAUUAGGGAAGAACAAAUGUGUAAGUAACUAUGCACGUCUUGACGGUACCUAAUCAGAAAGCCACGGCUAACUACGUG
rnacentral:rRNA from 1 species